UGGAGUAGUAAUUAUGGAUCUGAUAAAUUAUUUCAUUUCAUUUUCUCCCGUUGCAGCAUCAUUCAGAACUUUCAUUGCAUCCACAUGCCACGCUUGCCAUUUUUUCGUUAUCAUGCAACAUAAUAAAGAAUGACACUACUAAUAUGACGUCCUUUAAAGGGAAAUUAAUCUGCUGUCAUAACUAAGAGCAGCUGAACUAUCUCUAUUAAAACGGAAUGCAUUGGCAUUAUAAAACCGUUCAUAAAGCAAGUUAAACAUUUGCGCAAACUUUUUGAUGAUGCCGACGUAGCAAUGCCUAAAAUUGGUGCUGUGGAGGAAUUCCAAGGAGAGGAAGGCGAUGUAAUAAUAAUUUCAACAGUGAGAUCAGAUAAGGAGCAUGUACUUAACGAUGUGCGCCUUUCAUUAGGUUUCAUUCAAAACGGGAAAUUGUCUAACCUCGCACUAUCUCGAUCUCGUUUCCUUCUUAUUAUAUACGGCAACCCCUACCUACUCCUUUUAGAUCCUCAUUAGCGCACGAUCAUAAAAUACUGCGUCGAUGCUGAUGCCUACCUCGGUUGUGAUUUGCCGGCAAAUUACUUUUAAUUAUUUUAAUUAUUAAA